rnacentral:rRNA from 1 species
UGCCAGCCGCCGCGGUAAUACGAAGGUCCCAAGCGUUGUUCGGAAUCACUGGGCGUAAAGCGUGUGUAGGCUGCGCGGAAAGUCAAAUGUGAAAGCCCGGGGCUCAACCUCGGAACUGCAUUCGAUACUCCCGUGCUAGAGUAAUGGAGAGGUAAGUGGAAUUCCUGGUGUAGCAGUGAAAUGCGUGGAUAUCAGGAGGAACAUCAAUGGCGAAGGCAACUUACUGGACAUUUACUGACGCUCAGACACGAAGGCUAGGGUAGCGAAAGGGAUUAGAUA